GGUUGAUCCUGCCAGUAGUCAUAUGCUUGUCUUAAAGAUUAAGCCAUGCAUGUCUAAGUAUAAGUAAUUAUACUGCGAAACUGCGAAUGGCUCAUUAAAUCAGUUAUAGUUUAUUUGAUAGUACCUUACUACUUGGAUAACCGUAGUAAUUCUAGAGCUAAUACAUGCAAAAAGUCCUGACCGCAAGGAAAGGAUGUAUUUAUUAGAUACAAAACCAAUGCUAGGGGGCAACCUCUAGAAAAACAUUGAUGAAUCAUGAUAACUUCGCGAAUCGUAUGGUCUUGCACCGACG
rnacentral:rRNA from 1 species